GAUGAACGCUGGCGGCGUGCCUAAUACAUGCAAGUCGAACGAAACUUCUUUAUCACCGAGUGCUUGCACUCACCGAUAAAGAGUUGAGUGGCGAACGGGUGAGUAACACGUGGGCAGCCUGCCCAAAAGAGGGGGAUAACACUUGGAAACAGGUGCUAAUACCGCAUAACCAUAGUUACCGCAUGGUAACUAUGUAAAAGGUGGCUAUACUACCGCUUUUGGAUGGGCCCGCGGCGCAUUAGCUAGUUGGUAGGGUAAAGGCUUACCAAGGCAAUGAUGCGUAGCCGAAGUGAGAGGUGGAUCGGCCACAUUGGGACUGAGACACGGCCCAAGCUCCUACGGGAGGCAGCAGUAGGGAAUCGUCCACAAUGGGCGAAAGCCUGAUGGAGCAACGCCGCGUGGGUGAAGAAGGUCUUCGGAUCGUAAAACCCUGUUGUUAGAGAAGAAAGUGCGUGAGAGUAACUGUUCACGUUUCGACGGUAUCUAACCAGAAAGCCACGGCUAACUACGUG
rnacentral:rRNA from 1 species